GACAAACGCUGGCGGCGUGCUUAAUACAUGCAAGUCGAACGGAAAGGCCCUGCUUUUGUGGGGUGCUCGAGUGGCGAACGGGUGAGUAACACGUGAGUAACCUGCCCUUGACUUUGGGAUAACUUCAGGAAACUGGGGCUAAUACCGGAUAGGAGCUCCUGCUGCAUGGUGGGGGUUGGAAAGUUUCGGCGGUUGGGGAUGGACUCGCGGCUUAUCAGCUUGUUGGUGGGGUAGUGGCUUACCAAGGCUUUGACGGGUAGCCGGCCUGAGAGGGUGACCGGCCACAUUGGGACUGAGAUACGGCCCAGACUCCUACGGGAGGCAGCAGUGGGGAAUAUUGCACAAUGGGCGGAAGCCUGAUGCAGCAACGCCGCGUGCGGGAUGACGGCCUUCGGGUUGUAAACCGCUUUCGCCUGUGACGAAGCGUGAGUGACGGUAAUGGGUAAAGAAGCACCGGCUAACUACGUGCCAGCAGCCGCGGUGAUACGUAGGGUGCGAGCGUUGUCCGGAUUUAUUGGGCGUAAAGGGCUCGUAGGUGGUUGAUCGCGUCGGAAGUGUAAUCUUGGGGCUUAACCCUGAGCGUGCUUUCGAUACGGGUUGACUUGAGGAAGGUAGGGGAGAAUGGAAUUCCUGGUGGAGCGGUGGAAUGCGCAGAUAUCAGGAGGAACACCAGUGGCGAAGGCGGUUCUCUGGGCCUUUCCUGACGCUGAGGAGCGAAAGCGUGGGGAGCGAACAGGCUUAGAUACCCUGGUAGUCCACGCUGUAAACGGUGGGUACUAGGUGUGGGGUCCAUUCCACGGGUUCCGUGCCGUAGCUAACGCUUUAAGUACCCCGCCUGGGGAGUACGGCCGCAAGGCUAAAACUCAAAGGAAUUGACGGGGCCCCGCACAAGCGGCGGAGCAUGCGGAUUAAUUCGAUGCAACGCGUAGAACCUUACCUGGGUUUGACAUGGAUCGGGAGUGCUCAGAGAUGGGUGUGCCUCUUUUGGGGUCGGUUCACAGGUGGUGCAUGGCUGUCGUCAGCUCGUGUCGUGAGAUGUUGGGUUAAGUCCCGCAACGAGCGCAACCCUUGUUCACUGUUGCCAGCACGUUAUGGUGGGGACUCAGUGGAGACCGCCGGGGUCAACUCGGAGGAAGGUGGGGAUGACGUCAAGUCAUCAUGCCCCUUAUGUCCAGGGCUUCACGCAUGCUACAAUGGCUGGUACAGAGAGUGGCGAGCCUGUGAGGGUGAGCGAAUCUCGGAAAGCCGGUCUCAGUUCGGAUUGGGGUCUGCAACUCGACCUCAUGAAGUCGGAGUCGCUAGUAAUCGCAGAUCAGCAACGCUGCGGUGAAUACGUUCCCGGG
rnacentral:rRNA from 1 species